GACGAACGCUGGCGGCGUGCUUAACACAUGCAAGUCGAACGGAAAGGCCCUGCUUUUGUGGGGUGCUCGAGUGGCGAACGGGUGAGUAACACGUGAGUAACCUGCCCUUGACUUUGGGAUAACUUCAGGAAACUGGGGCUAAUACCGGAUAGGAGCUCCUGCUGCAUGGUGGGGGUUGGAAAGUUUCGGUGGUUGGGGAUGGACUCGCGGCUUAUCAGCUUGUUGGUGGGGUAGUGGCUUACCAAGGCUUUGACGGGUAGCCGGACUGAGAGGGUGACCGGCCACAUUGGGACUGAGAUGCGGCCCAGACUCCUACGGGAGGCAGCAGUGGGGAAUAUUGCACAAUGGGCGGAAGCCUGAUGCAGCAACGCCGCGUGCGGGAUGACGGCCUUCGGGUUGUAAACCGCUUUCGCCUGUGACGAAGCGUGAGUGACGGUAAUGGGUAAAGAAGCACCGGCUAACUACGUG
rnacentral:rRNA from 1 species